rnacentral:rRNA from 1 species
AUUGAACGCUGGCGGCAGGCCUAACACAUGCAAGUCGAGCGGAGCGGCGGACGGGUGAGUAAUGCCUAGGAAUCUGCCUGGUAGUGGGGGAUAACGUCCGGAAACGGGCGCUAAUACCGCAUACUAUCAGAUGAGCCUAGGUCGGAUUAGCUAGUUGGUGGGGUAAAGGCCUACCAAGGCGACGAUCCGUAACUGGUCUGAGAGGAUGAUCAGUCAACCUGGAACUGAGACAAGGUCCAGAAUCCUACGGGAGGGAGCAGGGGGGAAUUUUGGGCAAUGGGGGAAAGCCUGAUCCAGCCCUGGCGGGUGUGUGAAGAAGGUUUUCGGAUUUUAAAGCACUUUAAGUUGGGAGGCGUUACCAACAGAAUAAGCACCGGCUAACUUCGUGCCAGCCGCCGCGGUAAUAC